UCAUGGCUCAGGAUGAAACGCUAGCGGCAGGCCUAAUACAUGCAAGUCAAGGGGUCGUAGCAAUACGGCACCGGCGAACGGGUGCGUAACGCGUACGCAAUAUACCUCUAAGAGGGGGAUAGCUUCUGGAAACGGGAGGUAAUACCCCAUAGUAUUAUUUGGUAGCAUUACUGGAUAAUUAUAACUCAGGUGCUUAGAGAUUGGCGUGCGUCCUAUUAGAUAGUUGGUGAGGUAACGGCUCACCAAGUCGAUGAUAGGUAGGGGCGUGAGAGCGUGGUCCCCCACACGGACACUGAGAUACGGGUCCGACUCCUACGGGAGGCAGCAGUAAGGAAUAUUGGUCAAUGGACGGAAGUCUGAACCAGCCAUGCCGCGUGAAGGAUGAAGGUGCUACGCAUUGUAAACUUCUUUGGACGGAGAAGAAACCCCUGCCUGCGGGCGGGGCUGACGGUAUCCGUAGAACAAGCACCGGCUAACUCCGUG
rnacentral:rRNA from 1 species